rnacentral:lncRNA from 1 species
AUGGCCAGCACCAGCACCACCAUCACCGUCAUCACCACCACCAUCACUGUCAUCACCAUCUCUACCACCACCACCAGCACCACCAUCACCACCACCAUCACUGUCAUCACCAUCUCUACCACCACCACCACCACCACCACCAUCACCACCAUCACUGUCAUCACCAUCUCUACCACCACCACCAGCACCACCACCACCACCAUCACUGUCAUCACCAUCUCUACCACCACCACCAGCACCACCACCACCACCAUCACUGUCAUCACCAUCUCUACCACCACCACCAGCACCACCAUCACCACCACCAUCACUGUCAUCACCAUCUCUACCACCACCACCACCACCACCACCACCAUCACUGUCAUCACCAUCUCUACCACCACCACCAGCACCACCAUCACCACCACCAUCACUGUCAUCACCAUCUCUACCACCACCACCAGCACCACCACCACCACCACCAUCACCACCAUCACUGUCAUCACCAUCUCUACCACCACCACCACCAUCACUGUCAUCACCAUCUCUACCACCACCACCACCACCACCAUCACUGUCAUCACCAUCUCUACCACCACCACCAGCACCACCAUCACCACCACCAUCACUGUCAUCACCAUCUCUACCACUACCAUCACCACCACCACGAUCAUCACCACCACUAUCAUCACCGUCAUUACCACCACCACCAUCACCACCACCAUCACUGUCAUCACCAUCUCUACCACCACCACCACCACCACCACCAUCAUCACCACCAUCACUGUCAUCACCAUCUCUACCACUACCAUCACCACCACCACGAUCAUCACCACCACUAUCAUCACCGUCAUUACCACUAUCACCAUCACCACCACCACCACUAUCAUGACCGUCAUCACCACUACUAUCAUCACCACCAUCACUGUCAUCACCAUCACCACCACCACCAUCACCGUCAUCACCAUCUCUACCACCACCACCAUCACCACCAUCACCACCACUAUCAUCACUGUCAUCACCACUACCAUCACCAUCAUCACCAUCUCUACCACCACCACCACCACCACCACCACUAUCAUCACCACUACCAUCACCAUCACACUACCAUCACCACCACCAUCACCAUCACCACCAUCUCUGCCACCACCACCAUCAUCACCAUCACCAGUACUAUCACCAUCACCACCACCAUCAUCACCACCAUCACCCUCACCAUUCCCAGUGGGAGUCAGUUCAGGUCUCUGUAACAAAACACCACUGACUGGGCAGCUUAAACAACAUUUAUUUCUUUCUUGCAGCUCUGGAGGCUGGCAAGUCCAAGAUCAGGGUGUCAGUCCAUCAGGUUUCUAG